CCCCUCCCCACACCACCACAGGACAGCCUCCAACAUCAUCAUAAUUACAGGGGAGGACUGAAGGAUGGAAGCGCUCUGAAUGUGUCGUGGUAAUCCUCUACCAUAUCAGGAGCACCAGACAAAAUGCUGAUAGUAUGUGGCCAGGCACCAGUCCCACUUCAGAUGGAGGACAGGAGAGAUGGUUUGUCAUUGGUUGAGGCAAACUCUGUCAUAUCCAGGAUGGAGUGUCAUGCAUUCCACCCCUCCUGCCGCUUGACUGUACCUGUUCAUAAUCUCCAAUACAUUACAUAGAUGGAAGGAAUUUAAUCACCCAAUGGAGACUUGAAGACAGAACCUCAUGCAGAGAGCUGUGCAUGUCACUGUGUGGUUCGACAGCCAAAUAGAAUAGGUCGUUAUCAAUAAAACUACACAGUUUCAGAAACUUGUGGGUAGCCAGAUCCAUUUGGCAAAAAGAUAGCUAGCUAAGCAAACAACAUGUCAUUUAGCUUGCUUCAUCAGAGAUUAUGCUUUAGGAAAAAGCUUGACAUCGGCAAGUCCUUGUCCUGGUAAAUCUGUUAGUCAGACUACUCCCAGUGGGCAAAACCUGUUUGAAAAGACAUCAG
ensembl:lncRNA